AAGUCGUAACAAGGUUUCCGUAGGUGAACCUGCGGAAGGAUCAUUAUUGAGAGGAAGGCGUCCGCGCCUUCGCGGUGCAUCUGCACCCGACUCUUCACCCUCGUGCGUACCGACCAUCGUUGCUUUGGCGGGUAUGAAGGCCUUAUCCGCCCUCUAUCGAACCCCGCCGAAGACCCUUUUUUAAGCCUUAUGUCAAUGCAGUCUGAGUCUUUUAAGCAAUCAAAAUUAAAAAAACUUUCAACAACGGAUCUCUUGGUUCUG
rnacentral:misc_RNA from 1 species